GGUGACUUCCGAUAGUGGUUAUUCGGUCACACUCGAAUUGAAACAGUUCUUGUUAUGUGAUGCCGUAAGGCGCGUGAGUUCAAAUCUCACAGUCACCU